rnacentral:rRNA from 1 species
CGACAGGCGUAGUCGAUGGACAACGGGUUGAUAUUCCCGUACCCGUGUGAACGCGCCCCUGAUGAAUCACUGGUACUAACCAUCCUGAAGAUUCCUUUUUCCCUUCGGGGGAUUGGGGGUUGGAUGCAUGGGACCUUCGGUGGUAGUAGUCAAGCGAUGGGGUGACGCAGGAAGGUAGCUGGGCCGGCUGGUGGAAUAGCCGGUGUAAGCCUGUAGGGCGAGUGGUAGGCAAAUCCGCCACUCAUAUGGCCUGAGAGGUGAUGCGUAGCCGUUGUGGUGAAUUCAGUGAUCCUAUGCUGCCGAGAAAAGCCUCUAGCGAGCUUUCACAUGGCCCGUACCCCAAACCGACACAGGUGGUCAGGUAGAGAAUACUGAGGCGAUCGAGAUAACUGUGGUUAAGGAACUCGGCAAAAUGCCCCCGUAACUUCGGGAGAAGGGGGACCUUGUCUGGUGAUGAGUCUUGCACUCUGAGCUGGGUGGGGUCGCAGAGACCAGAGAGAAGCG